GGACAUCAUAGAAAUCAAUAUUUUCUCUUAAAGCUCAACUACUUCAUUGUAUUCUACAGAAGACAAAGGCGCUCAUUAUCCUCUCGACACAGAAGUCGCUCUCCCACUCCAAGACGUCGUAAAAGCCGCUCACCUACACCAAAGCAGAAUAAAAGACAAAGAAAAAGGAGCACUUCUUCAUCCCCUUUAAGUGAAUCCCCACUCAUUGGUACCAAAGAGAUGAAAGAUGCAACUGAAAAAUUGAAAACAGAGGAAGAGGACAAGAAAAGGUAUAAUAAUUACAAUUAUGAUCUUUUCCCUUUUAUAUUCACCUCCUUACAUGAUUUUCUGUACCAUAGUGAUGUGUCUGUUCUUGAAUCUAAACUAGUAAAGUUUUAUAAUUCGUACAUCAUAAUUUGGACUUUCUAAUAUUCUUGAAUCGGUUCCACUCUAGAGGCUGAUGAUGGAAGCCUAACAUAUACUAUCAGUGACUAAGUUUUUGUGGAGAUAACUUGUACAGUUAACAUUGGUUAUAGCUUUGACAUAUCNAUUAAUAUUAAGAGGCGAUGGGGAUUUUCUUUUCCCAUAAUGAGUUCCUAUAAGCUUAUGUUGAGAGGACAGCUCCGGCUAUCUACUUUACUGAUCAGACCAUUAUGAAUUUGUAAUCUGCAGAAACUAUUAUUACAAUAUGUGGUUUGAUGAUUUUUUUUGUACCAGGUUUCGGGUGCUUUUGGUUGCCAUUACCACUAGAAAAGUAAAGAUUUUAACGUAAAAUGAGUAGAAAGACCAAUCUUUAUUAGAUUAAGAUAGGGUAGCUUAUUUGAAAUUGAAUAUGAUGAUGUUACGUUUCAGGAUAAGUUAUAAUGAUGAAGUUUUAGUUUAAAAUUUGAGUAUAUGUGUAUUCAUUACUCUACUUUGGAAACAAAACUAAUUUGAAUUCCGUAACUUUUGUUAGUUAAAUGUGUUCCAAUUAUUUUGUUGAUGUAUUCAAUCUGGACACUUUUCCGGACUAUUGUGGGGUGCACUGUUGUGAACUUUACCCGUAAUAAUUGCUCAUCAUAUUGGUUUUAUUUGUUUUAGAUGAUCUAGCAGAUGCUUACAGAUUGUGUAUCUUUGGUGUCCUAGUGCCAUGUUGCUGCCUAUGAGAGUUUUCGCGUUUUCCCAUCAGCACCUUGAUAUUCUUCAUGCUUAUGGUUGUUGACUUGAUGAUCUGUCACCUUUCGUAAAGCUGCUAAAUUGUAAUUUUAAUGGCUUAUACAUCCUCAUGCUGGGAGCUUCUAUGCACCAAAAAAAACAUUAGAAAGUGAGAUACAUACUCUUUUAACACAUAGGUUGAAUGAGGUAGCCAAGAUGAUUGACCUUUGAGAAAUCUAGAAAAGAAACAAUGGCUCCUUUUGACUGAGAAGUAAGCUGGUGAUAGGUGCCGUUGGUGUUAUUUCACUGCUCGGUUGUGAAAAUAGCAGUGUCUUAUGAUAAAAGAUGCAGCACCCAGUUUAUUCUUUGCAAUAUGUGAGGUAACUGUACAUGCUUUCAGUAUAGAUUUAGGAAACACGAGGUUGUGGUCCUUGUGGACAUCAUAGAAAUCAAUAUUUUCUCUUAAAGCUCAACUACUUCAUUGUAUUCUACAGAAGACAAAGGCGCUCAUUAUCCUCUCGACACAGAAGUCGCUCUCCCACUCCAAGACGUCGUAAAAGCCGCUCACCUACACCAAAGCAGAAUAAAAGACAAAGAAAAAGGAGCACUUCUUCAUCCCCUUUAAGUGAAUCCCCACUCAUUGGUACCAAAGAGAUGAAAGAUGCAACUGAAAAAUUGAAAACAGAGGAAGAGGACAAGAAAAGGUAUAAUAAUUACAAUUAUGAUCUUUUCCCUUUUAUAUUCACCUCCUUACAUGAUUUUCUGUACCAUAGUGAUGUGUCUGUUCUUGAAUCUAAACUAGUAAAGUUUUAUAAUUCGUACAUCAUAAUUUGGACUUUCUAAUAUUCUUGAAUCGGUUCCACUCUAGAGGCUGAUGAUGGAAGCCUAACAUAUACUAUCAGUGACUAAGUUUUUGUGGAGAUAACUUGUACAGUUAACAUUGGUUAUAGCUUUGACAUAUCAUUUCUAGUUUGUCCUGCAGUCCUUGUUUCAUUUGUUAUAAGUAUUGUUGCCUGGUAUUUGGGACAAUGAAAGGAGACACAUCGGUUUGCAAGAGAAUAACUUGUUAUGUACAUAUGCCUCUUAUCGUUUGGAUCUGCAUGGUUUUUUCUUGAGAUAUAUGCAUUAAAAUAUAUAUUAUUUAUGUUCUAUCUGGUGCUAGCAGAAGGUUUAUGCUAAUUGUCAAUUCUUCGUAUAUGUAUCAUAAACCAUUUGAUUAUUAUUAUUUUCCUUUCGUCUUUGUUUACAAAUCGGAUGGCCAUAAAGUUUGCCUUUCUCCAACUCAUUCAUGUGCUGCAAGAAAUGAAUUUGUGAUCCUAUAUAAAUAUGCAACUAGAAAAGAACAUGGAACAAUAUACUAACCAUGGAAGUUGAAUCUGAGUGCUGCAUGUGUGCUUGCUUGUGAAAUUGGUAGCUCUGCUUUUGAUCCGUUUUGCUUGUUGUAGAUAAAUGUAAAAUACUCGUCUAGAGAGAGAUUUUGUUCUGGUCAUACAUCAUAACCCGUUUAUUUCUGCACACAUAAAAGGAAAUUUUGGACUUGUCAUCAACUCAUCUAAUUUAUUGCUUUUCUCAAUUCGUAAAUGUGGAUUUCGAGAGAUGCUGGACCUGGUAUCAUUGCUUAGUGAAUGUGUAGAAAGCUACAUUCAAUUCCAUGGUUUAUGCGUAUUCUACUA
rnacentral:lncRNA from 1 species